AUGUUUCUCAAUCUCCAUUGCACCCCCUGUCUGACGGGGAGCUGCAGGACUCACCCCACCACUCUACCCAAACGGUGGUCAGGGUGCCGGUGCCGGAGCCCCUUGCGCCACCUCACUCGUCGCGCCAACAGCUCUUCCCUCCCACCUCGACACCGGAGCGUGGCAGACAAACGGCUCGCCUGGCUCGAGCAGCUCAGGCCUCAGCCUCCAAGGAUCCUCGGCUCCCGACCCUCUCUUCCCGCGAGGCCAUGCCUCCUCCCGAGACUGUGCUUUCUUCUCCCCCUCACUCCCCCCAAGGGGCUGAGGAGGAAGAUGUUGAUGUUGACCGCCCAGACUCUGUCCUCUCGGCCUCGGUGGUUUCUCUUGGUCUCGACCUCUCUCCUCCCCACGAUGCGUAUGAGGCGGACCCGCCUUCUCCUACUGACAAUAUUCGUGCUUUCUCUGAUCAAAUGGUCAGAAUGGCCGACGCCCUGGGUUUGGAGAUCAAGCAGACUUCCAAAGAAGUGUCUGAUCCAGUUUUCAAAAGGGUGCAGGCCCAAGCUCCGCCGGCCACGCUACUCCCUUUCCUGCCUUAUCUCUUGGACGUUAUCCAGGCCUCCUGGAAAACCCCUUCCUCCAUUCCUCCGACCUCGAAGAGGAUCGAGACUUGGUACCGUACCGACGAUGAUACCUUGGAAUGGCUCAAACACCACCCCGACCCCAACUCCCUGGUCGUUAAGGCCUCUCAAUCCUCAGGUCGUCAGUCGAACACUCCGGCCGACAGAGAAGGGAAGCGCUUCGACGCCGUGGGUCGAAAACUUUACUCCGGAGCCCUUUUGCUUUGCCGCAUGGCGAACUAUGGAGCCUGCAUGGGUGCCUACCAGCAGAUUAUCUGGGAGAAGGCACAGCCCUUCUUCGCUAAGAUGUCGGACGAAGACCGCUCCGUCCUCACUACCCUCCCAACAGGAAGCAGACUCGCUUGCUCACCACCAAAUACAAAUGGCGAAACAUACAGGUGAUACUGCGGGCAAGAUGAUUGCCCAUGCGAUAUCCAUCCGCCGCCACGCCUGGCUGAGGUCUUCGGGUCUCUCCUCAUCUUCCAGACAGGUCAUUGAAGACCUUCCCUUUGACGCGCUCGGACUAUUUAACUCCGGUACCGAUGACAAACUCAAGUCUAAUCAUGACUUUAAAAUUCUUGCGUCUAAAUGUGGCGACCAACCGCAACCUCAGCGCACCGCUGGUUCCCGCACCCCUCCCGCCGCUUCCCGCCGCAAUCUUUCAGACACCACUCUUUCAGGCGGGCUUCGGGCUCGAAUAAUCAAACCCAUCCCCAACCUCAUCGGGGACCUCAUCCGCAAAAGCAACGCGGUCGAACCACCCCCGCUCCUCCGCAGGCUAACCGGCGUACCUGACGCCAACCCCUGCCAAAGCUCCUCGCCCGCUACCGAUGCAGAGCCCACGCUGCCUCGAUCCUCCGGCGCCUUUGCAGACCGCCUAGCCCCCUUCUACAAUCAAUGGGAGUCUAUUACUUCAGAUGCAUGGGUUCUUCGCAUUGUCCAAGACGGCUACGCCUUAGAGUUCACGGACCUCCCACCUACAGGUCGCAUUCUCCACUCAACUCCUUCCCCAGAGAUACUGGCCGAAGUCGAGGCAUUACUGGCCAAAGGCGCCAUCCGUCCCUCCCCUCCCGAACUGGACCCUUUAAGUUUCUUCUCCAGAUACUUUACAGUCCCGAAGAGAGGAGGCGGGCUACGCCCCAUUCUGGACCUAAGGGCCCUCAAUAUAUUCAUUCGCCCUUCCAAAUUCAGGAUGGUCUCUAUUGCCUCUAUCCUCCCGAUGCUGCAGCGGGGAGACUACUUUGCCUCCAUAGACUUACGAGACGCCUACUUCCACGUGGCGAUACGGGAGACGCACAGACGCUUCCUCUGUUUCAAAGUUCUCGACCAAACCUACCAAUUUACCGUUUUAUCCUUCGGGCUCGUUACGGCCCCGAGGGUCUUUACCAAGGUCGUCGCCGCCGUAGCGGCCCACCUCAGGCUACAUGGCAUCACGGUCUUUCCUUAUCUGGACGACUGGCUUCUCGUCGGGCCCGAUCCGGUUCUUCUCGAAAACCACGUUUCCUUCACGCUGCGUCUUCUAAAAUCUCUCGGCCUCCAACUCAACUCCGAGAAGUCAAAUCUCUCCCCGUCAACCCGAAUCCGGUUCAUCGGGGCCCUCUUCGACUCCGUCACAGAGACUGUUUCACUUCCGUUCGACAGAUUCCUAGCUCUCCGCCACCACAUCGCCCUUUGUCGAUCUGCCCGGAGAGUCAGAGCCCGUGCCAUCCAAGUCCUUCUGGGCCACAUGGCCUCCACGGUUCUCACGACCCCGUUUGCCAGGCUGCGCCUUCGGGUCCUACAAAGGUGGUUUAUAGACACUUUCAAGCCGUCCUACCACCACAACUCCAGAUACCUGUCGGUACCGUUGUUCGUCCGCCAGUCCCUCUCAUGGUGGACGUCUCACCAAAACGUGUGCAGGGGCCUCCCAUUUCAUCCAGCCCCGCCGUCGCUAACCAUAACCACGGACUCCUCCACCUACGCUUGGGGAGCCCACAUGAGCGGUCUAACGGUUCAAGAUCUUUGGUCCCCAUCCGAGAGGGCCAACCACAUAAACUUUCUCGAGCUUCUCGCCAUUCUCAAAGCCCUGAAAGCAUUCUCCCGCCUCAUCCGUCACAAGUCCAUCCUCAUUCAAUCGGACAACCUCGUAGCAGUAUUCUACAUCAACAAACAGGGCGGUACGGGUUCGAGGAAAUUGAUGCUCCUCUCCUCCCGUCUCUGGGUUUGGUGCAUAGCCCACGAUGUACAGGUCUCUGCAAUCCACCUGCCGGGCGCCCAAAACGACCUAGCAGAUGCCCUCAGCAGGAUGACAUCUUCCUCUCACGAGUGGAAGCUCGAUCCCGAGAUCCUCGACGGUCUGUUCCUCGACUGGGGACGCCCUACUCUGGAUCUCUUCGCGUCUCCCCACAACGCUCAGCUACCCCGCUACGGGGCGAGACUUCCCCCGAACUCCUUCCCCGGCUGUCUAGGAGAUGCCUUUCUACUGGACUGGUCGGCGGAGAUGCUUUAUCUUUUUCCACCGAUUCCUCUCAUACCGAAAGUUCUCGAAAGACUUCUCUCGAUCUCGGUCACAGCGAUUCUCAUAGCUCCGGCCUGGCCCCGCCAACCGUGGUAUCCGGCCCUUCUUCGUCUCUCCAGAGCAACGUUUCGCCCUCUGCCUCCCUCGCCGCACCUUCUCUCAAGGGAGGACGGCAAAAUUCUUCACCCGGACCUCCCUUCCCUUCAUCUCACUGCAUGGAGGAUUCUUACCUAG
ensembl:lncRNA